UGAGGAAUAUUGGACAAUGGAGGCAACUCUGAUCCAGCCAUGCCGCGUGAGUGAUGAAGGCCUUAGGGUUGUAAAACUCUUUUAGUAGGGAAAAUAAUGAUGGUACCUACAGAAAAAGCUCCGGCUAACUUCGUGCCAGCAACCGCGGUAAUACGAAGGGAGCUAGCGUUACUCGGAAUCACUGGGCGUAAAGCGUAUGUAGGCGGAAUUUCAAGUCAGAGGUGAAAUCCCUGGGCUCAACCCAGGAAUUGCCUUUGAAACUGUAAUUCUUGAGUAUGGUAGAGGAUGGUGGAAUUUCCAGUGUAGAGGUGAAAUUCGUAGAUAUUGGAAAGAACACCGGUGGCGAAGGCGACCAUCUGGGCCAUUACUGACGCUGAGAUACGAAAGCGUGGGGAGCAAACGG
rnacentral:rRNA from 1 species